AGUGAACGCUGGCGGUAGGCCUAACACAUGCAAGUCGAACGGCAGCACAGUAAGAGCUUGCUCUUACGGGUAGCGAGUGGCGGACGGGUGAGGAAUACAUCGGAAUCUACUUUUUCGUGGGGGAUAACGUAGGGAAACUUACGCUAAUACCGCAUACGACCUACGGGUGAAAGCAGGGGAUCUUCGGACCUUGCGCGAUUGAAUGAGCCGAUGUCGGAUUAGCUGGUUGGCGGGGUAAAGGCCCACCAAGGCGACGAUCCGUAGCUGGUCUGAGAGGAUGAUCAGCCACACUGGAACUGAGACACGGUCCAGACUCCUACGGGAGGCAGCAGUGGGGAAUAUUGGACAAUGGGCGCAAGCCUGAUCCAGCCAUACCGCGUGGGUGAAGAAGGCCUUCGGGUUGUAAAGCCCUUUUGUUGGGAAAGAAAAGCAGCAGGUUAAUACCCCGCUGCUCUGACGGUACCCAAAGAAUAAGCACCGGCUAACUUCGUG
rnacentral:rRNA from 1 species